AUUGAACGCUGGCGGCAGGCCUAGCACAUGCAAGUCGAACGGUAACAGGAAGAAGCUUGCUUCUUUGCUGACGAGUGGCGGACGGGUGAGUAAUGUCUGGGAAACUGCCUGAUGGAGGGGGAUAACUACUGGAAACGGUAGCUAAUACCGCAUAACGUCGCAAGACCAAAGAGGGGGACCUUCGGGCCUCUUGCCAUCGGAUGUGCCCAGAUGGGAUUAGCUAGUAGGUGGAGUAACGGCUCACCUAGGCGACGAUCCCUAGCUGGUCUGAGAGGAUGACCAGCCACACUGGAACUGAGACACGGUCCAGACUCCUACGGGAGGCAGCAGUGGGGAAUAUUGCACAAUGGGCGCAAGCCUGAUGCAGCCAUGCCGCGUGUAUGAAGAAGGCCUUCGGGUUGUAAAGUACUUUCAGCGGGGAGGAAGGGAGUAAAGUUAAUACCUUUACUCAUUGACGUUACCCGCAGAAGAAGCACCGGCUAACUCCGUG
rnacentral:rRNA from 1 species